rnacentral:rRNA from 1 species
CGUAGCCGCGGUAAUGCGAAGGGUGCAAGCGUUAAUCGGAAUUACUGGGCGUAAAGCGUGCGUAGGCGGUGAGUUAAGUCUGCUGUGAAAUCCCCGGGCUCAACCUGGGAAUGGCAGUGGAUACUGGCUCGCUAGAGUGUGUCGGAGGAUGGUGGAAUUCCCGGUGUAGCGGUGAAAUGCGUAGAGAUCGGGAGGAACAUCAGUGGCGAAGGCGGCCAUCUGGGACAACACUGACGCUGAGGCACGAAAGCGUGGGGAGCAAACAGGAUUAGAUACCCCUGUAGUCCCUGUCUCUUAUACA